AUGAGUGCCAAGUACUAUAUUCCUGCUCUAGGUGCAUUUCUUGUUGAAGGCAGUGCUAGAUUCAGUGACCUGUUACGGCCGUUUACAGUCUUAUGUUAUACUCAGCAUGUGGUUGGAAAUGGAAUCAAAGCCCAGUCUGGAAAUCCUGAAGUCAAAGUCAAAGGAACUGAUCCUGUGAUAAAUCAGAUUAUUGAUAAACUGAAGCAUGUUAUUCAGGGAUGGCCAUUGUGCUGUCAGUAUCAAGGGAUGGCUAACAGCACCCACCACAAUGUCAGCUAUGAAAGGAUUCAGAAAAUAGCCUUCUCGGUGCAUGAACAAGGAAGGCAACGCGUGGACCUGGGCCAGAUGAGCAGCUUCUACAUUGGCCUGUGUUCCCGCCUCCACUGCAACAUCUUCUCCUACGACUACUCCGGCUACGGUGCCAGCUCGGGCAGGCCCUCCGAGACGAACCUCUACGCCGACAUCGACGCCGCCCGGCAGGCCCUGCGCACCAGGUACCGCAUCAGCCCGGACAGCAUCAUCCUGUACCGGCAGAGCAUCGGCACGGUGCCCACCGUGGACCUGGCCUCGCGCUACGAGUCCGCCGCGGUGGUGCUGCACUCGCCGCUCACCUUGGACCUGAGCGUCGCCUUCCCGACACCAAGACGACCUACUGCUUCGACGCCUUCCCCAAAAUCCAGAAGGUGUCCAAGAUCACGUCGCCCGUGCUCAUUAUCCACGGCACGAAAGACGAGGUGAUCGACUUCUCGCAGGGGCUGGCGCUCUAGGAGCGCUGCCCCAAGGCCGUGGAGCCGCUGUGGGUGGAGGGCGCCGGGCACAAAGACAUCCAGCUCUACAGCCAGUACCUGGAGCGCCUGCGCCGCUUCAUCUCCCAGGAGCUGCGCAGCCAGAGCGCCUAGCGGCCGCCGGGGCCCCAACCGGCCGGACUUCAGCAAUAAGGCGGCCCCCGGACCUCACCCCGCACCGGCCUCCCGGGGGCUGCAUGUGGACCCCCAGGUGGCCCGGGGGACCCCGCCCGGAUCCAGGGGCCGUGGACGGUGUACAACAGAGCUACCCACUCCUUUCCUUUUGGAAGCAAGAAGAAAUAUGUGAAAACGGAAAUUAAAGAUUAAAAUUUU